AUACGGAGGGGGCUAGCGUUGUUCGGAAUUACUGGGCGUAAAGCGCGCGUAGGCGGUCCACACAGUUAGGCGUGAAAGGCCUGGGCUCAACCCAGGAACUGCGCUUAAUACUGGUGAACUAGAGUCCGGGAGAGGGUGGCGGAAUUCCCAGUGUAGAGGUGAAAUUCGUAGAUAUUGGGAAGAACACCAGUGGCGAAGGCGGCCACCUGGACCGGUACUGACGCUGAGGUGCGAAAGCGUGGGGAGCAAACAGGAUUAGAAACCCGGGUAGUCC
rnacentral:rRNA from 1 species